AAUCAUACGCUGUGCAGCAGGCUCGGGCAAAGGAGGGUACGGCCGAGGAGUGACGAGAGAAAGAGAGGAACACGCCCCCUUACAGGAUUGACCUACUACCCUCUUCUACCACCGGUGACACUAAGAUGCGCGUGUGCCUGGUAAUAGUGGUGGCGGUGGCGGUGGCCGUGUCGGAGGCGCAGAACAUCAGGCCGCCGGGUCAGCGUCCUCCUAUCCGCAUCCCUAGCCGCGUGGAGAUGACUGUGGCAGUGAACAACCCGGAGACGGUGAAGAAGGCGCUGGCGUGCAUCGAGGGGCUCCCGUGCAAGCUGGACGACGACUAUGCGGUCAUGUUGAGACGCUUUGGUCCCGAGGUGAUGAUGAGGGGCCACUGUCCCCUGAAUCUGUGCACGCAGGAAGAGGCCCGCGAGGCGAAGUGGCUUAUGUCCAAGAUCUACGAAAAGUACCCAAAGCGUUACCUCGGCACCGUCAACAGGCUGGCUAUCCGCGCCAAUCCCUACAACGGUUAACCCGCUCACACGCUCCUCUCAGCCUGACCCCUGCGACCCCCUUGCAUGGCUCUCCUUCCUAGGCUAUUCGUGAUGAUACAAGACCCCCAGAUAGAGAGGUUCUUCUUUUAGCUUCCCUUAAUACAUCUAUAGACCCAUACAUGUAGACAUUGACACGCUUCCCUCCUAUCUUGGUUACUCGUAAUACACAUACAAGACCCCAAGAUAGAGAGGUUCUUCUUUUAGCUUCCCUUAAUACAUCUAUAGACCCAUACAUGUAGAGACAUUGACACGCUUCCCUCCUAUCUUGGUUACUCGUAAUACACAUACAAGACCCCAAGAUAGAGAGGUUCUUCCUUCACCUUCUCUUCUUACGUCUAAAGAUUCUUACAAACACAAACACGUUGACUUUUACAAUGCUCACCUCUCCGUCAAGGCUUUCAACUAUAGUGUCUUCUUUGUGAUCUCCAUCCUUGUUAAAAGAAGCUCUAUAAUAUGCUCCCUAUCUUGACUUCUCCUGAUAGUAAGAAGCUCUACUCUAUUUUCUUUCGGUCUAUAUCCAUGCAAAAAAGAAGCUCUACUCUAUCAAGCCUCUCCAUGAUAGUGUCUUCUUUUUUAUCUCCAGCCUUGCAAACAGAAGCUCCACUCCCUACUCUGGCUUCUUGUGAUAACUCUUGGUCAUCUCAUCCUUGCGGUUCAGUACACGCAGCUCCGGCCAGUUCAACCCACACACACACCCGUCUCCUGCAUUUAGCUUCCCCAUCACCCACCCUGGAGGCUAUACCCGUGACGAUACAGACCUAGGCACACUAAAGGGGCUAUUACACUAGGCAAAUCUUCUGUGGAUCUUCAGUCAAACCACGAUUUCCGCUAGCGUGGUUCUCCUUUGUUUCUUGUUAUUGCUGAUGAUGAUGAUGGUGACUAAUACCAUCGUCCUUCAGUGAAAUCUACCGUAGCUUUGGAAGAUCGUGGACACGUCAGAAAACCACGGAAAUAGGAGAACCACGCUAUCGGAAAUCGUGGUUUGACUGAAGAUCCACGGAAAAUUUGCCCAGUGUAAUAUAGCCCCGUAAGAUACUGAGAGAGUCUUUUGCUACUUUCUCUCUCUUUCCUUGUGGUUUGGGAAUCGUGGCUCAUUCUGGCUCCUAUGUGGCUCUCCGUGUCUUUCAAUCCCACUCGUUGGUUAUAUAACAUCUCAACACGUAGGAUAAUAUAGAGGGUUAAUGGGUAUGUGGCUCCUGUACGGUUCUUUGUGUCUUUCUACUCCAGUCGGUUAUGUAUUUUGGCCCGUCCCUCUCUUCUAAUGGUGUGGGAUUCGGGACUCAAUCGUGGUUCUUAUGGCUCCCCCCCUUCCUCCUAUCCCACCGGCUAUAUUCCUUCAUGUGAUGUGUCGUGAAAAUGUCUCAAAAAUGAUGAUGUUUGAUGGUUCCUUAUAUUCCGUUCAUAUACCUAACUCCUAUGGCCUCAGCCCCUCCCACCUCCCUCCUCCUUUUUUUUUACUGGGAUUUUGUUAUACCUUUUUGUUAUAAGAUCUCAAUACACGUGUACUGUGUUUGUGGUGUUUGUUUGUACUGGCAUUGUCUCAGUUUUUGUUUCAUUAUCGCAUUAUUUCUCCUGUGGUUAACUUUUCUUGUUUUGUACUGAAAGAGGACUAAAAAGACAUAGAAAGACG